UACUGCUCGGCACCCUGCCCGUCGUCCUCUUAGUCCACGGGUUGACUUUCGGCGGAGGAGCUUCCACAACUUUCGUCUUCACCGCCUCCACAGCCGAGUCAGCGGUGCUGCUUUGGUCAUUUUCUUUGUCGUUUUCUUUGCAUUUAUUGUGCGGGUCCGCCUCGGUGCUGCUGUGGUCAUCGUCUAGUUGCUUCUCCGUCUGCUUUUCUCCAUGCUGCUCCUCUUGAGCCCCUACCUCGGUCUUGUUUUGGUUCUUCUCCUCGGAGCUGGCCGCUGUCAAACCAGCCGAUCCGACCUGACUGCUCUCAACCUCUGUGGACAUCCUGCUAGUCUCCUAACAGUGCACAGUGUUAAAUCCAGUGUGAAGAUGUAGUCCUUGCUCUUUUAUCCCAGAGAAAAGCCGUGAGAAGGUCAGGGGGAGACCACAUCCACAACUUGGGCUCCACGCUCCCAGCAGAGUAGAGCUCGUGCAUCCAGCUGCUGUCCUGCCUGUAAACAGUGACUCUGCUGCCCCCCGCGGCCUCACGACGAUAAUGAAACACAGAGAUCAGAAACAUCGUCAGCGCCACAGAGAAAUGCUUCGGUGCAGACGACACCACUGAAGGUCUGGUGUAGAUGUAGGGAUGCUCCUCGAGAAAAGAAAUAAUCACAGAUGUCUUUCAUGCCGAUCAGCAUCGUCACCAGCUUCCAGUCCUCUUCAAAGUUCAGACCCUGAAGAAUGGAGAGUUGAUCUUAAACGUCACAUAAAUAAAGUUUAAGUAAAGAUUAUUAAUCAUCUGAUAAGCAGAGUUAUGGACGCUGUGAUUUACGGGAUAAGACUUGAACGUGUCGAUCAUAUGUCUUAUCUGAUCAGAGACGUUUCUGGAGAAGAACAAACACAGCGAUGAAUCACAACACCAAUAAAACAUUAUCAAAUCAUUUACAACUUAAUAUUAUGAGCUUUGAACUGAAUUAAACAUCAUGAGGGCACUCAGCUCUCCUUACUGAACUUACCUGUGAUUGCAUGAAUAUGUGUUGUUUUAAAUACCUUGAAACAAUGAACUUAAUUAUAAGUCUGGUGAGUGUUUUCUAAAGUUACUACACUGUAAUCUUCAUUUGCUCUUAUAGUUUCUAUUUUCACUUCUUUUCUUAACUAAGUUUUAUUUUUUUGCUACCUCUGUGUAUCUGAACUCAUUUCUGGCAUUGCGGCAACAUCUGAAUUUCCUGUUUUAAGAUAAAUAAAGGCUUGUCUUUGUGUUCAUAGA